UCUAAUUUGGUUGAAAGAAAAUCAACUGCAGGAUAAUAAAAUCCUGUGUCAGGUUUAAGCAUCAGGUAUUCAUUUCCCAAGUCUGUCUAAGUGCUUAAAUUAGGUCUAGCCGAUGGAUGAAGUAAAAAAACAAUAUUAAGUGCGGCACCAAAGAGAAGUCCUAUUUCAAUAUUACAAAGUAUGCAAAUCACGAAGGGAAUAAGUAACAGCACAAUAAACUUAAUAAUAGAUGAAGCGUUAUAAAGAUUAGAGAUUGCUCACUGGAUCCUUUCCAAAGAACUUUGAAAAUUCGUAAAUCGACCAUAAAUAAAACUGCGCUUACUAAUACUGAUGCGAGUGUCGCACGUGGUAUAUAGUAAAAGUAAGGUGUUAGAAAACUAAGUGCUAACAACGUUAAGGUUCCUGAAAUAUUAAAAUGAUACGGAAGAUUUAAUAAAAUAAGAAAGUAAGGAUUGAAAA